UGUGAGCGUAUACCAAAGUUGUUGCAGUUAAAACGCUCGUAGUCGGAAUUUGGCAGUUCCGGAUGUGUGCACGUCGUGUGCGCACUUCGCGGGGAUUGCUUUUGUGGUCUUGCGUAGGAUGAGGCACUUUUAUUAGUGAACGUCCUCACGCAACCACUUUUUACUGUGAGAAAAUCAGAGUGCUCAAAGCAGGCAUUUGCCGUGAAUGUAUUAGCAUGGAAUAAUAGAAUAGGACUUGGUUCUAUUUUGUUGGUUUGUUGGGACUGAGUAAUGAUUAAGAGGGACAGUUGGGGGCAUUUGUAUUUCGGCGCUAGAGGUGAAAUUCUUAGAUUACCGAAAGACAAACUGCUGCGAAAGCGUCUGCCAAGGAUGUUUUCAUUGA
rnacentral:rRNA from 1 species